rnacentral:rRNA from 1 species
UACGUAGGGGGCUAGCGUUAUCCGGAAUUACUGGGCGUAAAGGGUGCGUAGGUGGUUUCUUAAGUCAGAGGUGAAAGGCUACGGCUCAACCGUAGUAAGCCUUUGAAACUGGGGAACUUGAGUGCAGGAGAGGAGAGUGGAAUUCCUAGUGUAGCGGUGAAAUGCGUAGAUAUUAGGAGGAACACCAGUUGCGAAGGCGGCCCUCUGGACUGUAACUGACACUGAGGCACGAAAGCGUGGGGAGCAAACAGG